AACGAACGCUGGCGGCAUGCCUAACACAUGCAAGUCGAACGAGACCUUCGGGUCUAGUGGCGCACGGGUGCGUAACGCGUGGGAACCUGCCCUUAGGUUCGGAAUAACUCCCCGAAAGGGGUGCUAAUACCGGAUAAUGUCUUCGGACCAAAGAUUUAUCGCCUUUGGAUGGGCCCGGGUUGGAUUAGCUGGUUGGUAGGGUAAAAGCCUACCAAGGCGACGAUCCAUAGCUGGUCGGAGAGGAUGACCAGCCACACUGGGACUGCGACACGGCCCAGACUCCUACGGGAGGCAGCAGUGGGGAAUAUUGGACAAUGGGCGAAAGCCUGAUCCAGCAAUGCCGCGUGAGUGAUGAAGGCCUUAGGGUUGUAAAGCUCUUUUACCCGGGAUGAUAAUGACAGUACCGGGAGAAUAAGCACCGGCUAACUCCGUG
rnacentral:rRNA from 1 species